rnacentral:rRNA from 1 species
AUGGGAGUCGCAUGGGGCAGGAUUUCGCCCUUCUUGUUUAUCCUAGUUAUGGAGACGCUGCAACAACUGCUCGUCAAUGCAGUGCAAGAGGGGGUGUUAUCCAAGUUCAAAGGCAGGGUGUCGGAGUUCCGCACCUCCUGUAUGUCGACGACGUUGCAAUAUUCCUACAACCCUGUCAGGCAAGAGGUGCUUACUCUCAGAUCGAUCCUCCGCGCCUUUGGCGACGCCACGGGACUCAUAGUUGACUUCGGCAAAAGCAUGGUGCUUGCCAUCAACAGCCAGAGUUUCUCUGUAGCGGACAUGGCCGGACCAUUGGGGAUGCCGGCGUGGGUCCGCUUGCAGAUCGACAAGAUUCGGCGCGCAUGGCUAUGGAAGGGCCAGGAAUUCUGUCAUGGCGGACAUUGCAAGGUGGCCUGGGGGCGUAUCUGUAGACCACAUGAACUUGGUGGCCUUGGCAUCUUGGACCUGCAACGGUUUGGGGUGGCGCUGUGGCUGGUGCGCACGACGACGAUGAGGCCAUGGAUUGGGAUGCGUGUUUCGUGUUCCACGCCAAGACGGCCGUUGUUCGCGGCUGCUACUACUGCAAUUGUCCGUGACGACAAGACGAUUUCUUUUGAAAAUUUGUGA